rnacentral:rRNA from 1 species
CCUACGGGAGGCAGCAGUAAGGAAUCUUCCACAAUGGACGAAAGUCUGAUGGAGCAACGCCGCGUGCAGGAUGAAGGCUUUCGGGUCGUAAACUGCUUUUAUAUGGGAAGAUUAUGACGGUACCAUAUGAAUAAGGACCGGCUAACUACGUGCCAGCAGCCGCGGUAAUACGUAGGGUCCAAGCGAUAUCCGGAAUUACUGGGCGUAAAGCGUGUGUAGGUGGAUUAAUAAGUGUGAUGCGAAAUCCGGCGGCUCAACCGUUUGGACUGUGUCGCAUACUGUUAGUCUAGAGGACGGCAGAGGUAAGUGGAAUUACGGGUGUAGCAGUGAAAUGCGUAGAUAUCCGUAGGAACACCAAUGGCGAAGGCAGCUUACUGGGCCACACCUGACACUGAGACACGAAAGCGUGGGGAGCGAACAGGAUUAGAUACCCUGGUAGUCCACGCCGUAAACGAUGCAUACUAUUAGUAUGGGGUAUCGACCCCCUGUGCUGAGAAGCUAACGCGAUAAGUAUGCCGCCUGGGGAGUACGAGCGCAAGCUUAAAACGUCAAAUUGAAUUGAGGCUUGNGAGNGCGAGACGACGACGAGGAGAGG